CCUAUUAGCUCAGUUGGUUCGAGGGUCGUAUUAAUGAUGCGAAAGUCACAAGUUCAAGUUUUGCAUGGGCCA
rnacentral:tRNA from 1 species